UAAGGAAUAUUGGUCAAUGGACGCAAGUCUGAACCAGCCAUGCCGCGUGGAGGAUGAAGGUCCUCUGGAUUGUAAACUUCUUUUAUCUGGGACGAAACACUUCUUUUCUAAGAGGCCUGACGGUACCAGAUGAAUAAGCACCGGCUAACUCCGUGCCAGCAGCCGCGGUAAUACGGAGGGUGCAAGCGUUAUCCGGAUUCACUGGGUUUAAAGGGUGCGUAGGCGGGCAUGUAAGUCAGUGGUGAAAUACCGGAGCUUAACUUCGGAACUGCCAUUGAUACUAUAUGUCUUGAAUAUUGUGGAGGUAAGCGGAAUAUGUCAUGUAGCGGUGAAAUGCUUAGAUAUGACAUAGAACACCAAUUGCGAAGGCAGCUUACUACAUAUAAAUUGACGCUGAGGCACGAAAGCGUGGGGAUCAAACA
rnacentral:rRNA from 1 species